UCACGAAGUGGAAGUAAACAAGCUCCUGCAAGCCCUGGCUAUUGCAGAAGGAGUGCAGCAAUCGUGGCUCUUGGAGAAGAAGCUCCUGUUGCAACAGCUGGAAAGUUUGCAGCAAGAAGUUGCAAGGCUGAAACUUGCCAACACUGAGCUGAAGGAAUUCAAUGCUGAACUCAAGAAGUCUCUUGAGGAGGUGGAAUGUCAAUGGAGGAAACUGAUGAGGCUCCACUGUGAUCAGUCUCUUCCAGGUGCAAGUGGAUCUUCCUUCUCCAAGCCUCACCA